rnacentral:rRNA from 1 species
GAUGAACGCUGACAGAAUGCUUAACACAUGCAAGUCAACUUGAAUUUGGGUUUUUAACUUAGGUUUGGGUGGCGGACGGGUGAGUAACGCGUAAAGAACUUGCCUCACAGCUAGGGACAACAUUUGGAAACGAAUGCUAAUACCUAAUAUUAUGAUAAUAGGGCAUCCUAUAAUUAUGAAAGCUAUAAGCGCUGUGAGAGAGCUUUGCGUCCCAUUAGCUAGUUGGAGAGGUAACGGCUCACCAAGGCGAUGAUGGGUAGCCGGCCUGAGAGGGUGAUCGGCCACAAGGGGACUGAGACACGGCCCGUACUCCUACGGGAGGCAGCGGUGGGGAAUAUUGGACAAUGGACCGAGAGUCUGAUCCAGCAAUUCUGUGUGCACGAUGAAGUUUUUCGGAAUGUAAAGUGCUUUCAGUUGGGAAGAAACAAAUGACGGUACCAACAGAAGAAGUGACGGCUAAAUACGUG